CAGCAUGAUGAGGACAUUUUCAGAUGAGAUCCUUUAAUCUUUCCCAUGAGUCAUGGAAUUGCUCACCAUCUUGCUGUGAAAAGCUAGUGAGAGCUCAUCUUAUCUG
rnacentral:snoRNA from 1 species